rnacentral:rRNA from 1 species
GAUAAACGCUGGCGGCGUGCCUAAUACAUGCAAGUCGAGCGAACGGACGAGAAGCUUGCUUCUCUGAUGUUAGCGGCGGACGGGUGAGUAACACGUGGAUAACCUACCUAUAAGACUGGGAUAACUUCGGGAAACCGGAGCUAAUACCGGAUAAUAUUUUGAACCGCAUGGUUCAAAAGUGAAAGACGGUCUUGCUGUCACUUAUAGAUGGAUCCGCGCUGCAUUAGCUAGUUGGUAAGGUAACGGCUUACCAAGGCAACGAUGCAUAGCCGACCUGAGAGGGUGAUCGGCCACACUGGAACUGAGACACGGUCCAGACUCCUACGGGAGGCAGCAGUAGGGAAUCUUCCGCAAUGGGCGAAAGCCUGACGGAGCAACGCCGCGUGAGUGAUGAAGGUCUUCGGAUCGUAAAACUCUGUUAUUAGGGAAGAACAUAUGUGUAAGUAACUGUGCACAUCUUGACGGUACCUAAUCAGAAAGCCACGGCUAACUACGUGCCAGCAGCCGCGGUAAUACGUAGGUGGCAAGCGUUAUCCGGAAUUAUUGGGCGUAAAGCGCGCGUAGGCGGUUUUUUAAGUCUGAUGUGAAAGCCCACGGCUCAACCGUGGAGGGUCAUUGGAAACUGGAAAACUUGAGUGCAGAAGAGGAAAGUGGAAUUCCAUGUGUAGCGGUGAAAUGCGCAGAGAUAUGGAGGAACACCAGUGGCGAAGGCGACUUUCUGGUCUGUAACUGACGCUGAUGUGCGAAAGCGUGGGGAUCAAACAGGAUUAGAUACCCUGGUAGUCCACGCCGUAAACGAUGAGUGCUAAGUGUUAGGGGGUUUCCGCCCCUUAGUGCUGCAGCUAACGCAUUAAGCACUCCGCCUGGGGAGUACGACCGCAAGGUUGAAACUCAAAGGAAUUGACGGGGACCCGCACAAGCGGUGGAGCAUGUGGUUUAAUUCGAAGCAACGCGAAGAACCUUACCAAAUCUUGACAUCCUUUGACAACUCUAGAGAUAGAGCCUUCCCCUUCGGGGGACAAAGUGACAGGUGGUGCAUGGUUGUCGUUAGCUCGUGUCGUGAGAUGUUGGGUUAAGUCCCGCAACGAGCGCAACCCUUAAGCUUAGUUGCCAUCAUUAAGUUGGGCACUCUAAGUUGACUGCCGGUGACAAACCGGAGGAAGGUGGGGAUGACGUCAAAUCAUCAUGCCCCUUAUGAUUUGGGCUACACACGUGCUACAAUGGACAAUACAAAGGGCAGCGAAACCGCGAGGUCAAGCAAAUCCCAUAAAGUUGUUCUCAGUUCGGGUUGUAGUCUGCAACUCGACUACAUGAAGCUGGAAUCGCUAGUAAUCGUAGAUCAGCAUGCUACGGUGAAUACGUUCCCGGGUCU